UUGUAAGGGUGGGCCUGGGAAUAGAGGAAGGAGGGGGGCUGAGAGGCAGAUAUAAAGUAAAUAAUCUUUUUAAAAAAAGAAUAAUGCUGGCUGUAACACGGGACAAUAUAGAAGUGGAAGCAACUACAUUAAAAUUGGAGAAAAUUGGGAAGACUAAAAGCACACAUAACACAUGACAAGUAGCAAUACUUGUAAACUGGCACUGGUCUGGCUCCUAGUACUACUAUUGAUGCUGGAUUUCAGAGGAGAGUGAUACACAUUUGUGUGGGGAAUGGAAAAUCCUAGUGGAAAGAAGACAAUCCUAGACUUAAAGAAAUAACUGCCUUACUAAAAGUACAGCUAUGAGAUUCACUUUAGAAGUCACAAAUUUACCCAUAUGCUUUCUAAACUGGUGAGUAUUUAUGCUUGGGCCAUGAGAAGAAGCAACAGAAUAGAUGAUUUUGAUGAAGAGGCCAUAGAAAUGGAAAACUCUGAUGCCCAACCACUGCUAAGUGAGGUAAUGUAAUGGUAAAAAGGACAAUAUUUCAUUAAUAUCAAGUCAGUUGAUCUGUGAAAAUAAAUGGAGUUACCAUAGACAUAGAGGUAUCACAGCUGGAUGGUGAUCAUACACGCCUUUAAUCCCAGCACUUGGGAAGGAGAGGCAGGCAAAUCUCUGAGGUUAAGGCCAGCUAGUUCCUCGGGGUGAGUUUCAGGGUGGCCAGGGCUACCAUGGGAAACCCUGUUUCAAAAAACCCAAACUAAAACAAAACAGAAAGGAUGGAAGGAAAAAGAGAAAGGAAGGGAGGUAGGAAGGUAUCAGCAUCUUUAGUGUGAUUCUGAUGUCUGUGCUGCAUUGUAUUUACAUGGCCAAAGGCUGGGAAAGUCGAGGGAAAUUUAAAUAUUAUGCCCACACUGUGAAUCAUGAAGAAAAUAAAAAGUAGGGGAUGCUGAAAAUGUCUCUGCACUUUGCCUGGAACUCCCCUGACAAACUUCCACUGACACCUAUUUUGAGCCAGCCUUGACCCAGGUACUCUCUGGUGCUAGCUAUAAAAGUAAAUCCAAAUAUCUUCUCUCUUAGUUUCCAUUGCACUGAAGGGACAGAAGGAAUGCCACACCAAGAAUAAAAAUUAAAAGACCUUUGGAACCCCAGAUUAACUGUGCAUUGGAGUUCGGAACCACCAGAACAUCAAGUAAUAGACUGCCGAGGAUUCUAGAAGAUCCUUGUUUGAUCCUCCCGAGAAGCCUCUCUCUAAGUAAUAUUUGGAACUCUCUUCCCUCGAAGAAAACAAGACAGGAACCUAACAUGGCUUCCCUCCGAAAGGCCCAACAAACAGCUGACUGAGACAUAAGGAGAUACAACCAACCAAUGGACUGAAGUCAGGAACCUCUGAACCGCAUUGUUGAGCUCAACUUGUGAUAAUGUGGCCAUUGAGAGAAAUGAACUGCUUGUGAGGUUCCUAUGGCAGCUUGCUGCUUCCACUGCCUCAGGUCUGCCGGUUCCUUCAGGAUUGAACUAAAACUGCUGGUUCGCAUGUGGUAUAUGCUUGCCUAGAGGACCGGUUUGCAGCUGCUGAAUUGUAUUUGGUGUUUGCUGUGGGACUGAACUGCUAAGAAAGGAGAUCAAGUUCACCCCCAAAAGAACUACUGCUAAACAGAGCUCAAGGAACCCUAUGGAAGUGGAAAGAGGAGGUGGAAAGGAUGGGAGAGCCAGAAGGAAUGGAGGACACCAGGAGAAGAAGACAGGGGCACUAGAUGGAGCUCUAUGGAAGCAGAUUAAUCUACACAGGUUAAAAAAUGAAUUCCAGUAACAUCUAAGCUUACAUUGAGGAUUCACAGAUGCAAACUGACCUGUUGCCUUCGGCACCUUCUCCAUGCCUUUCCCAUUGGGAUGGAAUUUCUCUCCUGUAACGACCUCAAGAGUGGCAGAUCACCAAGCAAUAAGCACACUUAUUUGGAGUCAUUGCCUCCUCACCAAAUAUGUAAGGUGUAUUGAUCAAAAAUAGACAGAAUAAACCGAUAAGUGAGGGAUACUGCACAGACAUUGAUGGAUGCUACCACUACUUAUC
rnacentral:lncRNA from 1 species